rnacentral:rRNA from 1 species
GACGAACGCUGACGGCGUGCUUAACACAUGCAAGUCGAACGGAAAGGCCCUGCUUUUGUGGGGUGUUCGAGUGGCGAACGGGUGAGUAACACGUGAGUAACCUGCCCUUGACUUUGGGAUAACUUCAGGAAACUGGGGCUAAUACCGGAUAGGAGCUCCUGCUGCAUGGUGGGGGUUGGAAAGUUUCGGCGGUUGGGGAUGGACUCGCGGCUUAUCAGCUUGUUGGUGGGGUAGUGGCUUACCAAGGCUUUGACGGGUAGCCGGCCUGAGAGGGUGACCGGCCACAUUGGGACUGAGAUACGGCCCAGACUCCUACGGGAGGCAGCAGUGGGGAAUAUUGCACAAUGGGCGGAAGCCUGAUGCAGCAACGCCGCGUGCGGGAUGACGGCCUUCGGGUUGUAAACCGCUUUCGCCUGUGACGAAGCGUGAGUGACGGUAAUGGGUAAAGAAGCACCGGCUAACUACGUG